AGAAAGUAGUAUAGAGGAAAUACGGAGAGUUUUGAUCUCUCAGUGGCAGGUUCAAUUCCCGCUUUUCUAA
rnacentral:tRNA from 1 species